rnacentral:piRNA from 1 species
UAGGUGACAGGAUAAAGUGUGAACUCCUCAGU